rnacentral:tRNA from 1 species
GUCUUCGUGGCUCAGUUGGCUAGAGCGUUGGUCUCAUAUUCUAUAUGAUCCAAUCCAAGAUUGGGAUAUCCAAAGGUCGUGAGUUCGAGCCUCACCGAGGACA